CGAGGCUGGCCCCGGCCCCGCGCUCCAGCCCGCAGCAGAUGCCUGCCCGGCCCUCCCUCGCCGGCCAAACCCACUCGGAGCCCGCGGCUGCGGGAGCGCCCUGCGCAACCGUUGGACGCGGGCGGCGGGGACACGGCCGGCGCUUCCCGCAGGCGUCCGCCCUGUCCGCGCCCCCCUCAGCCGCGGGGCUGCCUCUCCCCCAGCCUUUGCGGCCCCAGCCGGGCACUCCGGAAAGUUGCUAGGGCCGAGGAGGCGGGAGGGGAGGAAGGGAGGAGAGAGGCGGAGGCGUGGACCAGGCGGGCAGCAGCCGAGCCCGCCGGGGAGCGCCGCGGCGAUCAGACCGGGGGCAUCCCUCCUACAGACCCCCGUCCCCUAGGGCAAGGGAAUAAGCGGCCACCGAGGACCCUGAGGUCUCACCAGAGCUGCCGUCGCCACUCGCCCCUUGAGUCGGCUCGGUGCGCGCUGGCGGCAGCCGGAGUAGCCCUAGAGGCGGCGGCAGUUCCCGCCCGGGUAGAGGCGCCACGGCGCACGCCAGCCCCGGGAAAAGCCCGCGCCGCCUCUGCGCCCAGCUGUGCCCUGGCCCUCGCGCCGCCCCCGAUCCCGCGGCGGCCGGUGCGCGUCUAGUCGGUGACCCCGGCGUAGGCCUGGUGCCAGGAGGGCGCGCGGGAGGCCGCGUGGGUGCAGGUCCGCGCGAGCAGACGCCCGGGGGACCGGCCUCGCCCCCCACCAGCCUUGACCCUCCGCCCCGCCGCCCGCGCCCGGCCCGGCUCUUACCGCGGGGUCAGCCGGGAGGCGGCGGCCGCAGCGCUCGGGCUGCCGCUUGUCCGCUCUGGGAUCGGCGCCAGCCCGGCCGCCGGUGCACACUCGCGCCGGUCCCGGCCCGGCAGUCCGAUCGGCGGUGACCGCUGGUGCGCGGCGGGCGAGGGUCCCGGCAGGUCCCGCCGCCGCGACUGGGGCGCUGCGCCGCCGUCGCUGCAGACGGUUAUGGUAAUGAGCGGCUCUGUCUAGCGAGGAGCGUGUGAAACCCGUCAAUCCUGUUUGCCAUUUCCCCGUGGAUUUCCGAGGAGAGGUUCUGCAGGAUGCCCCCAGGUGAUCCUCCGACUGUGAAAAACCAAACCUCUCGCUGCCUGGCUCCCUAGGAACCAAGGAGAGGCACAGACUGAAAAUCGGGGAGAAGAGGAACAAGAUCAAGGACGAGGAUUAGCAUCUGCAAAUUGAACUCCAUCUAAUUUGCAUGUUUAUUUCUUAGAAUUGUAAUUAAAUUUGUGUAAUAAAUGUUUUCCAUUUCAUUUGUACACUUAAAAUUUGGGUGACUGACAUGCAGUUAAGUGAAUUUCUUUUUUUUUUUAAGCAAAUGUAGUUUAUUGAAUA
rnacentral:lncRNA from 1 species